rnacentral:rRNA from 1 species
UACAGAGGGUGCAAACGUUGCUCGGAAUCAUUGGGCGUAAAGCGUGCGCAGGCGGUUGUGCAAGACCGAUGUGAAAUCCCCGGGCUUAACCUGGGAAUGGCAUUGGUGACUGCACGGCUAGAGUGUGUCAGAGGGGGGUAGAAUUCCACGUGUAGCAGUGAAAUGCGUAGAGAUGUGGAGGAAUACCGAUGGCGAAGGCAGCCCCCUGGGAUAACACUGACGCUCAUGCACGAAAGCGUGGGGAGCAAACAGG